UAGGGAAUCUUCCGCAAUGGGCGAAAGCCUGACGGAGCAACGCCGCGUGAGUGUUGAAGGUCUUCGGAUCGUAAAACUCUGUUAUUAGGGAAGAACAAAUGUGUAAGUAACUAUGCACGUCUUGACGGUACCUAAUCAGAAAGCCACGGCUAACUACGUGCCAGCAGCCGCGGUAAUACGUAGGUGGCAAGCGUUAUCCGGAAUUAUUGGGCGUAAAGCGCGCGUAGGCGGUUUUUUAAGUCUGAUGUGAAAGCCCACGGCUCAACCGUGGAGGGUCAUUGGAAACUGGAAAACUUGAGUGCAGAAGAGGAAAGUGGAAUUCCAUGUGUAGCGGUGAAAUGCGCAGAGAUAUGGAGGAACACCAGUGGCGAAGGCGACUUUCUGGUCUGUAACUGACGCUGAUGUGCGAAAGCGUGGGGAUCAAACA
rnacentral:rRNA from 1 species